UGCAGCGUUCUGUGUGGAUGUGCUUC
rnacentral:piRNA from 1 species